AUUGAACGCUGGCGGCAGGCAUAACACAUGCAAGUCGAACGAGUGGCGGACGGGUGAGUAAUGCCUGGGAAAGUAGCUUAUGGAGGGGGAUAACUACGGGAAACGGUAGCUAAUACCGCGUACCAUAGGAUGAGCCCAGGUGGGAUUAGCUAGUUGGUGAGGUAAAGGCUCACCAAGCCGACGAUCCCUAGCUGGUCUGAGAGGAUGACCCGCCACACUCGAACUGAGCCACUGCCCAGACUCCUACGGGAGGCAGCAGUGGGGAAUAUUGCGCAAUGGGCGCAACCCUGACGCAGCCAUGCCGCGUGUAUGAAGAAGGCCUUCGGGUUGUAAAGUUCUUUCGGUAGCGAGGCGUUAUCUGCAGAAGAAGCACCGGCUAACUCCGUGCCAGCCGCCGCGGUAAUUC
rnacentral:rRNA from 1 species